AUUGAACGCUGGCGGCAUGCCUUACACAUGCAAGUCGAACGGCAGCAUGGAGAGCUUGCUCUCUGAUGGCGAGUGGCGAACGGGUGAGUAAAGCAUCGGAACGUACCGUGUAGUGGGGGAUAACGUAGCGAAAGUUACGCUAAUACCGCAUACGCACUGAGGUGGAAAGCAGGGGAUCGCAAGACCUUGCGCUAUACGAGCGGCCGAUGUCAGAUUAGCUAGUUGGUAGGGUAAAGGCCUACCAAGGCGACGAUCUGUAGCGGGUCUGAGAGGGUGAUGCGCCACACUGGGACUGAGACACGGCCCAGACUCCGACGGGAGGCAGCAGUGGGGAAUUUUGGACAAUGGGUGCAACCCUGAUCCAGCCAUGCCGCGUGAGUGAAGAAGGCCUUCGGGUUGUAAAGCUCUUUCGGCCGGGAAGAAAUCGCACAGGCUAAUACUCUGUGUGGAUGACGGUACCGGCAUAAGAAGCACCGGCUAACUACGUGCCAGCCGCCGCGGUAA
rnacentral:rRNA from 1 species